GCCUGGGUGGCUCAGUCGGUUGAGUGUCUGACUUCGGCUCAGGUCAUGAUCUCAUGGUCCGUGAGUUCGAGCCCCGCCUCGGGCU
rnacentral:tRNA from 1 species